GUCCGGGGGGCGGGACUGGGCAACGCGCCGGGCGCGUCUGAUCCGGGCGCUCCGCCUGAGCAGUCAGACCUUAUAAAAGCGAUGAGUAAAGAACUCGCUUAAAUGCCGAUGCAGCAUUUGCAGGUCCUUCCAGCUCAAUGUGCUAGGCCCUUGAUUCUCUUUUCCUUUCCAUCCAAGAAAGACAAAAAUCCAGCUAAGGAAAAAGUAUGGGACAGAUAACCAGACUGCACCAGUAUAUCUUCACAUGAAGAAAGAAGAAAUGAAACUUCCCAGAAGUUAAUGCUUGUGAACUUCUAAGAUUAAAGCUGUUAUAUACUAUCAUAGAACACUGGAUAGAUACCAAACAAAAAUUGUCCCAACAAGUUUACAUUUGCAGCAUGGAAAAAGAAGGAAGCUGCAUAAUUCAUAUUCUACAGUUUACAGAAAACGUAAAAUGUUUUGACUCCAAAUCAAAUAUUUUGGCUUUUUGCCAUUUAUCAAGUGUUCUGCUCAUAUCACUUAAGACAAUUUAAUGACAACAAGAAUGCUUACAGAAAGAGGCAAUGUUGGCUUUCAUUCACUGGGAAAUCAACUUUGCUGGUGAAAAAUUACUAAAGCGUAUACAAAAGAUUUACAGAAAUAAAAAUAUGGUAUUAUACUGAUGCAAGUAUAGUUUUGAAUAUCCAUUUAAAAUCAAUAUGUUAUGUUGCAAAAUAAAUGUUAAUGUACCUUGAAAAGUAAA